CAGCUCGUCAUGCUAGAGCACUUUUUCAAUGUGCCCUCCAACGACAAGGCAAUGACAUGAAUGUCAAUCCAUAUCAACUUUCGAUGCUAUUUACUGUGACUACCAUGGUGACCACGGGUAACAGGAAAUCAGGGUUCAAUUCCAUACAGGGACCCUGACAAACAGCUACCACAUGCAAGGAAGGCAGCAGGCGCGCAAAUGACACACUCUCGACACGGGGAGGUAGUGA